UGGUGUAACUAUAGAUGAGAUUUUUCCUCG
rnacentral:piRNA from 1 species